GCGUCGGUAGUGCAACGGUUCAGCACGCGCUCCGCGAAACAGUGAGAUCCGGGUUCAAAUUCCAGUUGACGCG